rnacentral:rRNA from 1 species
AUUGAACGCUGGCGGAAUGCUUUACACAUGCAAGUCGAGCGGCAGCGCGGGGCAACCUGGCGGCGAGCGGCGAACGGGUGAGUAAUGCAUCGGAACAUGUCCAUGUCGUGGGGGAUAGCCCGGCGAAAGACCGGAUUAAUACCGCAUACGCCCGACGAGGGAAAGGUGGGGACCGCAAGGCCUCACGCGAUUGGGUUGGCCGAUGUCCGAUUAGCUAGUUGGCGGGGUAAGNGGCCCACCAAGGCGAUGAUCGGUAGCUGGUCUGAGAGGAUGAUCAGCCACACUGGGACUGAGACACGGCCCAGACUCCUAC